CCUACGGGAGGCAGCAGUGGGGAAUUUUCCGCAAUGGGCGAAAGCCUGACGGAGCAAUACCGCGUGAGGGACGAAGGCCCUUGGGUCGUAAACCUCUUUUCUCAAGGAAGAUAAUGACGGUACUUGAGGAAUCAGCAUCGGCUAACUCCGUGCCAGCAGCCGCGGUAAUACGGAGGAUGCAAGCGUUAUCCGGAAUGAUUGGGCGUAAAGCGUCCGCAGGUGGUUUUGUAAGUCUGCUGUUAAAGCGUCAUGCUCAACAUGAUUAAAGCGGUGGAAACUACAAGACUAGAGUGCGUUAGGGGUGAAGGGAAUUCCUGGUGUAGCGGUGAAAUGCGUAGAGAUCAGGAAGAACACCGGUGGCGAAGGCGCUUCACUAUGCCGCAACUGACACUGAGGGACGAAAGCUAGGGGAGCGAAUGGGAUUAGAUACCCCAGUAGUCCUAGCCGUAAACGAUGGACACUAGGUGUUGCUUGUAUCGACCCGAGCAGUGCCGUAGCCAACGCGUUAAGUGUCCCGCCUGGGGAGUACGCACGCAAGUGUGAAACUUAAAGGAAUUGACGGNNGAGAGNGCGAGCGACGACGAGGAGAG
rnacentral:rRNA from 1 species